UCUCUGCCCACCACUUCCUGGCCACCAUGAGGUGAACAGCUUCCUACACUACACAUGCCCUCAAUAAUGCACUGUGCUGUCAUAGGCCCAAAACAAUGUGAUAACUGCCCAUGGACUGAACCUCUGAAAACCAUGAGCCAAAAUGAACCUGUCCUCCUUUAAGCUGUCACAGCAAGGGAAAGCUAACACACUCUGCUUCCGUGCACAUGCGCAUGCAUGUGCACGCACGUGCACACACACACACACACACACACACACACACACAUACAUCUCUCUCAUUUUUACCUCCCCUACACUCUUAGCCCAUGCAGAGCCACAUGGGCACAUCUGUCAUGUACCUGGGCACGUUUGUCUUUCUGUUCUUAAUUGCCCCUUUUUAAAUCUAUACAAUAGUAGUUCUCAGCUGGGGACACUUUUAUCACAACACACACACACAGGGAACAUUUGGCAAUCUGGAGACAUUUAUUUGUCACAACUGGGUAAAGAGGGUUGCUAUUGGCAUCUAAGGACAGAAGCAGAGAUGUUGCUAAGUGUCCUACAAAGACAUAGGACAGCUCUCCUAUCCUCAAACUGUGGCAGGGAAGGAGGCCUAAAGGGGAGGAAGGAAAGAAUGAAGAAAACAGGAGGAGAGAGGGGAGGGGAGAGGAGAGAAAGGGAUUUACCAACCAUAAAACACCAGUAGUGUGGAGUAUGAGAAAGCCUGCCACAAAACCUUAACUGGUAUCUGAGGACUCUUGCUCUUUUUAAUAUGCUUUUAUCACAUGUAACUCAAUCUGCAGGUUCUUUUCCUACUUAGUAUCAUUUGCUCUCUGAGAAUCCAGGAAAUUUGAUUCGGUGACCAGUGACUGGAGAAGGGGAGCUGAUGUUGUAGAGCAGUGGUGGUGAACCUAUGGCGGGCGUUGAAAGCUCUAAAGGUUUGCCGUCACUGUUCCUGAGGCAACUUCUCCCUGCACAGGAUUAUGAGGGAGUGUGGCCUGCAAGCUGGCAUCAGAGCUUUUCACCGAGGAGGAGGAGAUUUCCUGUGACCAAGGGUCUCACUAUGUAGUUCAGGCUGGCCUUGAGCUAUGUAGCCCAGGCUGGCCUCAAACUCAUGGCAAUCCUCCUGCCUCAGGCUUCCAAGUGCUGCGACUACAGGUAUGUGCCACCACACCUGGCUAAACUGGAAUUUGUGAUCCUACUGCCUCAGCCUCCCAGCGUGCUGGGAUUACUGGAAGGAAAUUCUUCAAUCACAGUGCUGGGGAUUGGACCCGGAGCCCAGCACAUGCUAGGUAAGUGUUGUACCACUGACACCACCCCG
rnacentral:lncRNA from 1 species